ensembl:snoRNA
CCUCCUUUUCUUGGCAGACCCGGGCGGUGCGGUGCCCGGCUCUGUAAUGCUCCGGAGGCAGAGGAAGGGGAUCCCAUCCCCCUCGGUGUUCUGUCUUCGGUGCCAGCGGCUUCCCCGUCUGCUGGUUCUAUCCUCAAGCACCGGGACACGC